rnacentral:rRNA from 1 species
UACGGAGGGUGCAAGCGUUAAUCGGAAUUACUGGGCGUAAAGCGCACGCAGGUGGCUGAGUAAGUCGAUUGUGAAAGCCCUGGGCUUAACCUGGGAAUUGCAUUCGAUACUGUUCAGCUAGAGUGUGGGAGAGGGAAGUGGAAUUCCCGGUGUAGCGGUGAAAUGCGUAGAUAUCGGGAGGAACAUCAGUGGCGAAGGCGGUUGCCUGGGGCUUUGCUGACGCUGAUGCGCGAAAGCGUGGGGAGCGAUCCGG